GGAGAAAGUGGCCAGAAAAAAAGUUGAGUCCUGCCUGCGUGUGGCUGAGGUGGUGGUUUGCAAUGUUCCUACAAGCCCUUUGAUUUUUAGGGCGAAGGGGUCUCCCCGCUGUGCCUCCUUCUGCCUGGCUCCUCCGGCCCCCGCGGCAGACACUGCCUUCAUUGCCGCACAUCAGACUAACUCUCCAAGUUCUGCCAGAUGAACUGGGAUGAAAAAAGACUAAAUAAGGCUCCUGGUCUUGUUAUGCUCUCCAUGCACAGAUAGACAAGUGCGGAUGUGAAGAGCAAGAUUCCCGCUCAUCGUGCAUCUUAAAGUUCUGCAGAAAGGAAUUUAAAACCCUGCUGAACUCGUCGGCCUGCAGCUGCAGUUUCCAAAGUCUCUUCUGAGUGCAUCUGCGCAAUGCAAUGCUGCACCUACUCACAG